rnacentral:lncRNA from 1 species
GCCACCAUCAGAAGGGACCCAAAAUAAACCAACCCAACAAACAACGAGAGUAGUUGGAAGCAAAAGGGAAAAAAACAUAAACAAAUGGGCAUUCUUCCACUCGAAGCUUGCAUGCAGGUGCGUGAAUCCAAACAAACGGCUGCAAAAGUGUCGACCCAUUUCACUGAAACCUAAUAAUCUUCAUGAUAAUCACCGGUUCUUUGAAACUCUUGCGAAGAUAUGACUCAGACAUGAGAAUGUGUUUUGAAUUUGCUUUUAUUAGCAACGAGCUCAUGCAUUUUAGGGUUAGGGUUUAGCAGUUCAGGAUUUUGGUUGGUGGAGAUGAAUCGAAGAUUCGCCUUAGGUGGGUAAUUCUUCUUGCAUUGAGUUCCAAGUUCUGGAUUCAACCUAACUUUCAUGAAAUUAUUUGUUCUAUGAAUCCGUUUGUGUUUAUUUUAAGUUAGUUCUUGUUGAAUUUUCGGUACAAGAAAGAGUAUGAAAGAUUUGCAAAAAUAUUGAGAGUUUAGUUUAAAUUUUGUCAUUUGGUGUUUUCUGAAUAUUUAUUUUUUUAAUAUAAUCAUGUGACCCAUUUUGGUUGCAGUUCUUUAAAUCUUGUUUUAAAAAUAAAUACUCCCAGUUAUAAUAGUAGCUCUAAUAGUAGGUGUUAAAAUUUAAAGAUAACUUAGAGGGUUAGUUUAUAGAGAAAUUACAAAUGCCAAUUGUAGGUGAGUGAAUUUGGCAAAGGGUGACAAUUCUUAAACAAGUAUUUAGAAAAUUUUGUUAUUAAAAAGUAGCUUUAGAGCUUGUUAAAAAGAAGCU